GAUGAACGCUAGCUACAGGCUUAACACAUGCAGGUCGAGGGGAAACGACAUCGAAAGCUUGCUUUUGAUGGGCGUCGACCGGCGCACGGGUGAGUAACGCGUAUCCAACCUGCCCACCACUUGGGGAUAACCUUGCGAAAGUAAGACUAUACCCAAUGAUAUCUCUAGAAGACAUCUGAAAGAGAUUAAAGAUUUAUCGGUGAUGGAUGGGGAUGCGUCUGAUUAGCUUGUUGGCGGGGUAACGGCCCACCAAGGCUACGAUCAGUAGGGGUUCUGAGAGGAAGGUCCCCCACAUUGGAACUGAGACACGGUCCAAACUCCUACGGGAGGCAGCAGUGAGGAAUAUUGGUCAAUGGGCGAGAGCCUGAACCAGCCAAGUAGCGUGCAGGAUGACGGCCCUAUGGGUUGUAAACUGCUUUUAUAAGGGAAUAAAGUGAGCCUCGUGAGGCUUUUUGCAUGUACCUUAUGAAUAGGGACCGGCUAAUUCCGUGCCAGCCGCCGCAGUAA
rnacentral:rRNA from 1 species